GAUGAACGCUGGCGGCGUGCCUAAUACAUGCAAGUCGAGCGAACAGACGAGAAGCUUGCUCCUCUGACGUUAGCGGCGGACGGGUGAGUAACACGUGGAUAACCUACCUAUAAGACUGGGAUAACUUCGGGAAACCGGAGCUAAUACCGGAUAAUAUAUUGAACCGCAUGGUUCAAUAGUGAAAGACGGUUUUGCUGUCACUUAUAGAUGGAUCCGCGCCGCAUUAGCUAGUUGGUAAGGUAACGGCUUACCAAGGCAACGAUGCGUAGCCGACCUGAGAGGGUGAUCGGCCACACUGGAACUGAGACACGGUCCAGACUCCUACGGGAGGCAGCAGUAGGGAAUCUUCCGCAAAGGGCGAAAGCCUGACGGAGCAACGCCGCGUGAGUGAUGAAGGUCUUCGGAUCGUAAAACUCUGUUAUUAGGGAAGAACAAAUGUGUAAGUAACUAUGCACGUCUUGACGGUACCUAAUCAGAAAGCCACGGCUAACUACGUG
rnacentral:rRNA from 1 species